CCCUAUGGGGUGCGCAGGCGGGUUUGUACGUCAGUGGUGAAAUCCCGGGGCUUACCUCCGGAACUGCCAUAGAAACUGCAAGCCUAGAGUACGGAAGAGGUUGAUGGAAUAUCUGGUGUAGCAGUGAAAUGCGUAGAUAUCAGAUAGAACACCAAUGGCGAAGGCAGUCAACUGGUCCGUUACUGAAGCUAAAGCACGAAAGUGUGGGGAGCGAACA
rnacentral:rRNA from 1 species